UGGGGAAUAUUGCACAAUGGGCGAAAGCCUGAUGCAGCAACGCCGCGUGAGGGAAGACGGUUUUCGGAUUGUAAACCUCUGUUUUCGGUGACGAACAAAAUGACGGUAACCGAGUAGGAAGCCACGGCUAACUACGUGCCAGCAGCCGCGGUAAUACGUAGGUGGCAAGCGUUAUCCGGAAUUACUGGGUGUAAAGGGAGCGCAGGCGGGAUAGCAAGUCAGCUGUGAAAACUAUGGGCUCAACCCAUAAACUGCAGCUGAAACUGUUAUUCUUGAGUGGAGUAGAGGCAAGCGGAAUUCCGAGUGUAGCGGUGAAAUGCGUAGAUAUUCGGAGGAACACCAGUGGCG
rnacentral:rRNA from 1 species